rnacentral:rRNA from 1 species
AACGAACGCUGGCGGCAUGCCUAACACAUGCAAGUCGAACGAACCCUUCGGGGUUAGUGGCGCACGGGUGCGUAACACGUGGGAAUCUGCCCUUUGCUUCGGAAUAACAGUUAGAAAUGACUGCUAAUACCGGAUGAUGUCGUAAGACCAAAGAUUUAUCGGCAAAGGAUGAGCCCGCGUAGGAUUAGGUAGUUGGUGGGGUAAAGGCCUACCAAGCCGACGAUCCUUAGCUGGUCUGAGAGGAUGAUCAGCCACACUGGGACUGAGACACGGCCCAGACUCCUACGGGAGGCAGCAGUGGGGAAUAUUGGACAAUGGGCGGAAGCCUGAUCCAGCAAUGCCGCGUGAGUGAUGAAGGCCU